rnacentral:rRNA from 1 species
AGUGAACGCUGGCGGCAGGCCUAACACAUGCAAGUCGAACGGCAGCACAGUAAGAGCUUGCUCUUACGGGUGGCGAGUGGCGGACGGGUGAGGAAUACAUCGGAAUCUACUUUUUCGUGGGGGAUAACGCAGGGAAACUUACGCUAAUACCGCAUACGACCUACGGGUGAAAGCAGGGGAUCUUCGGACCUUGCGCGAUUGAAUGAGCCGAUGUCGGAUUAGCUAGUUGGCGGGGUAAAGGCCCACCAAGGCGACGAUCCGUAGCUGGUCUGAGAGGAUGAUCAGCCACACUGGAACUGAGACACGGUCCAGACUCCUACGGGAGGCAGCAGUGGGGAAUAUUGGACAAUGGGCGCAAGCCUGAUCCAGCCAUACCGCGUGGGUGAAGAAGGCCUUCGGGUUGUAAAGCCCUUUUGUUGGGAAGGAAAAGCAGCAGGUUAAUACCCCGCUGUUCUGACGGUACCCAAAGAAUAAGCACCGGCUAACUUCGUG